rnacentral:tRNA from 1 species
GCGGGUGUGGCGGAAUUGGUAGACGCGCUUGGUUUAGGUCCAAGUAUCUCACGAUGUGGGGGUUCAAGUCCCUCCACCCGUACCA